rnacentral:rRNA from 1 species
UACGUAGGGUGCAAAGCGUUAAUCGGAAUUACUGGACGUAAAGCGUGCGCAGGCGGUUGUGCAAGACCGAUGUGAAAUCCCCGGGCUUAACCUGGGAAUGGCAUUGGUGACUGCACGGCUAGAGUGUGUCAGAGGGGGGUAGAAUUCCACGUGUAGCAGUGAAAUGCGUAGAGAUGUGGAGGAAUCCGAUGGCGAAGGCAGCCCCCUGGGAUAACACUGACGCUCAUGGCACGAAAGCGUGGGGAGCAAACAGG